UCGAGUGAUCCUCAUAUUGGGGGGUCUGUCCACCCGCCUAAAACGCGGGUGUUAGCAAGGGCCGGGCAAGACCGGUGCCAGCCGCCGCGGUAAUACCGGCGGCUCGAGUGGUGGCCGAUAUUAUUGAGUCUAAAGGGUCCGUAGCCGGCUUUGCAAGUCUCUCGGGAAAUCCAGCGGCUUAACCGUUGGGCUGUCGGGGGGUACUACAUUGCUUGGGACUGGGAGAGGUAGGAGGUACUCAGGGGGUAGGAGUGAAAUCCUGUAAUCCUUUGGGGACCACCGGUGGCGAAGGCGUCCUACCAGAACAGGUCCGACGGUGAGGGACGAAAGCUAGGGGCACGAACCGGAUUAGAUACCCGGGUAGUCCUAGCCGUAAACGAUGCUCGCUAGGUGUCACAACAGUCGUGAACUGUUGUGGUGCCGUAGGGAAGCCGUGAAGCGAGCCACUUGGGAAGUACGACCGCAAGGUUGAAACUUAAAGGAAUUGGCGGGGGAGCACCACAACGGGUGGAGCCUGCGGUUUAAUUGGACUCAACG
rnacentral:rRNA from 1 species